rnacentral:rRNA from 1 species
UACGUAGGGUGCAAGCGUUGUCCGGAAUUAUUGGGCGUAAAGAGCUCGUAGGCGGUUUGUUGCGUCGGCUGUGAAAUCCCGAGGCUCAACCUCGGGUCUGCAGUCGAUACGAGCAAACUAGAGUGUUGCAGGGGAGACUGGAAUUCCUGGUGUAGCGGUGAAAUGCGCAGAUAUCAGGAGGAACACCGGUGGCGAAGGCGGCUUCCUGGACCGACACUGACGCUGGAGGCGCGGAAAGCUAGGGGAGCAAACGGG